rnacentral:lncRNA from 1 species
CUCCCCAGGCUGCCAACUGAUCCCUCUCGUGUCUGCAGUAACCCGAAUGUAGUCUAGUAAGGUUUGCUCAAGUGAGAUGGAAAAUGAAGAGGUAGGCUCCAAAACAGACUUGCGUAUUGGAGACUUAUCCACCACAUGGUGAUGCCUUCCCUGACCUCCUUGAUUGCAGUGUGGGAUGUGCCCUGAUCCUUGGAAAGGGGUGAGUGAUUCCUUCAUCCUUACUAGAAGGUAAUCUCUACUUACCUUUUCUUGUGUCCAUCAGGUGGCACUGGAGAGUUGUGACCCUGCUGAGCAGUGCAAGGACUCUACUGAGGCUCUUGGUGGACACAGCGAGAACCCACACCCAUAGAUGGAUGCCAAUAUCUAUUCCUUCCUGUCUGGCAAGCUCUGUUGUCCCC